ACAUUUUCCUUUGUCUGUCUUUAAUUUUCUGUAAAUAAUAUUAAUGUCGUUAUUAGAAUGAGUAAUAUUUAACAUACGCACUCCAUGUUUUUGCAUAAUUUUUGUGAACUCUACGAUAUUUUAUUUUAUCAACAACAAAUAUAAUUGCACGUAUAAAUAUAAUGCUCGGAUUGAAAAUACAUUAAAAAGACAUCUCUGAAACGACUUGAACAAUUAAGAAUCGAGAUGACCAAGUACUUAUUUUUAUAUAUAAUAACUUGUCUAAUAAUGUUUGUACGUGAAGUGACGGGGAAUAUGGAGGCGGUCAGCUAUUGUUUUGAGCUUCUCUUUGGAAUGGGUAUACACUAUGAUCACUUUUGUGAGGAGUAUGGCGACAUCUGUGACAUAUUUUGCUAUAAAUAAAUUCCUCAACUAUAUGUUAACUAGUUUGAUUCUUCUAUUCGUGUCAGAAGACUGUAAUAAUUGUACAAGCAGUAGAAAUAAAAGUCCCAGACAACGUG